rnacentral:rRNA from 1 species
UACGUAGGGGGCAAGCAUUGUCCGGAAUCAUUGGGCGUAAAGCGCGUGUAGGCGGCCCGAUAAGUCCGCUGUGAAAGUCCAGGGCUCAACCCUGGGAUGCCGGUGGAUACUGUCGGGCUCGAGUCCGGAAGAGGCGAGUGGAAUUCCUGGUGUAGCGGUGAAAUGCGCAGAUAUCAGGAGGAACACCAAUGGCGAAGGCAGCUCGCUGGGACGUGACUGACGCUGAGACGCGAAAGCGUGGGGAGCAAACAGG